CGAUAGUAAUGUUAGAUGUUGUAAAUAAUAUGUCUUUUCUCUUCUGCUGAACAUUGAUCAACUCUAGUUAACCAGGUUGUGACAGAUGACAGUGUUAGCCAUGUGGCUUCAUCGCGCUAAUGUUGUGCCUACCAGCAUUUGUAGGGGAUCAUCGGAUUAGCGCCGUUCACUUGUUAAACGCCGGGCUCCGCGUCGCACGGGACACCAGGUGGAGGCACGGACAUCAAGCUCCAUGAUGAACGCUCGGGGUUUCCCGCGGCAUUGGCUUUUAGUCGCUGACCUGCUGCUGAUGAUGAUGAUGUCGUUAGGCGAGGCCCAGAAGGUGUUGACUGCGUUUAAUCUGACGUGCUG